rnacentral:rRNA from 1 species
AGAGUUUGAUCCUGGCUCAGGAUGAACGCUAGCUACAGGCUUAACACAUGCAAGUCGAGGGGCAGCAUGAACUUAGCUUGCUAAGUUUGAUGGCGACCGGCGCACGGGUGAGUAACACGUAUCCAACCUGCCGAUGACUCGGGGAUAGCCUUUCGAAAGAAAGAUUAAUACCCGAUGGCAUAAUUCUUCCGCAUGGUAGAACUAUUAAAGAAUUUCGGUCAUCGAUGGGGAUGCGUUCCAUUAGGUUGUUGGCGGGGUAACGGCCCACCAAGCCUUCGAUGGAUAGGGGUUCUGAGAGGAAGGUCCCCCACAUUGGAACUGAGACACGGUCCAAACUCCUACGGGAGGCAGCAGUGAGGAAUAUUGGUCAAUGGACGAGAGUCUGAACCAGCCAAGUAGCGUGAAGGAUGACUGCCCUAUGGGUUGUAAACUUCUUUUAUACGGGAAUAAAGUGAGGCACGUGUGCCUUUUUGUAUGUACCGUAUGAAUAAGGAUCGGCUGACUCCGUGCCAGCAGCCGCGGUAAUACGGAGGAUCCGAGCGUUAUCCGGAUUUAUUGGGUUUAAAGGGAGCGUAGGCGGACGCUUAAGUCAGUUGUGAAAGUUUGCGGCUCAACCGUAAAAUUGCAGUUGAUACUGGGUGUCUUGAGUACAGUAGAGGCAGGCGGAAUUCGUGGUGUAGCGGUGAAAUGCUUAGAUAUCACGAAGAACUCCGAUUGCGAAGGCAGCUUGCUGGACUGUAACUGACGCUGAUGCUCGAAAGUGUGGGUAUCAAACAGGAUUAGAUACCCUGGUAGUCCACACAGUAAACGAUGAAUACUCGCUGUUUGCGAUAUAC